rnacentral:lncRNA from 1 species
GCCCCCUAACGGGGAAACCGGUUCUACGGAACCCGAGGUGAGACAACCUGAGUCAGGGUUCGCAAACGCUCAUUUGCAGGAGACUUGGACUCAAUUUAAAUACAGGCCAUAGAGCGAACAUUUACGUCACUCCGCCUCGCGCCCCCGUGAACUCGGUGAGAGGAGCGACAGAACGUCACCUGCCUUAUCCACGCAACAGAUGCAAUGCAAAUGUACAAUGGAUGGGAAUGUUUCUAAAUGAAAUCACUUUAACAACUCAAGCAUUUCCCCGGCUUCUGUUCUGGAAUGCACAUAGGUACUAUUUUUGCAUUGUGGGCUAAAUGCCUUAAAAUGAAUUUCACUGUUAAGGAAACAAUUAUCCCUUGCACUUGAUGGCAAAUUCUCCCUUUCAUAAAGACCACCAAAUUUAUGGGGGAGAAGGGGAGAACAAAAUGAAGUAGGGAGUUACGUUUGCACUUAGAGUAAGGUUAUUUUGUGUGUCAGGCCAUUUUGGUAGAUAAUGUUAGAUGGUGACAUGGUCGCUUAGCAACCCUGUCAUGGACGAACUCAGGAUUCCUGUUUUACUGGGAAAUCAUAAGGAGCAAUACCUAGG